rnacentral:rRNA from 1 species
UACAGAGGGUGCAAGCGGUACUCGGAAUUACUGGGCGUAAAGCGCACGUAGGCGGUUUUUUAAGUCAGAUGUGAAAGCCCCGGGCUCAACCUGGGAAUUGCAUUUGAAACUGGGAAACUAGAGUGUGUGAGAGGGGGGUAGAAUUCCAAGUGUAGCGGUGAAAUGCGUAGAGAUUUGGAGGAAUACCAGUGGCGAAGGCGGCCCCCUGGCACAACACUGACGCUCAGGUGCGAAAGCGUGGGGAGCAAACAGG